rnacentral:misc_RNA from 1 species
UCCGGUUUGUCACCGGCAGUCUCGCAUGAGUCCCCAACUAAAUGCUGGCAACAUGCGACGGGGGUUGCGCUCGUUGCGGGACUUAACCCAACAUCUCACGACACGAGCUGACGACAGCCAUGCACCACCUGUGAUGGUGUCCCGAAGGAAGACUGUGUUUCCACAGCUGUCACCAACAUGUCAAGCCCAGGUAAGGUUCUUCGCGUUGCGUCGAAUUAAACCACAUGCUCCGCUGCUUGUGCGGGUCCCCGUCAAUUCCUUUGAGUUUUAGCCUUGCGGCCGUACUCCCCAGGCGGGGUACUUAAUGCGUUAGCGUCGGCACAGGGGGAGUCGACACCCCCUACACCUAGUACCCACCGUUUACGGCGUGGACUAC